UACGGGGGGUGCGAGCGUUGUCCGGAAUCACUGGGCGUAAAGGGCGCGUAGGUGGUUUGAUAAGGGUGUGGUGAAAAGCCCGGGGCUCAACCCCGGGUCUGCCGUGCCGACUGUCAAACUCGAGGGCUGUAGAGGCAGACGGAAUUCCGGGUGUAGCGGUGGAAUGCGUAGAGAUCCGGAGGAAGACCGGUGGCGAAGGCGGUCUGCUGGGCAGUUUCUGACACUGAUGCGCGACAGCGUGGGGAGCAAACAGG
rnacentral:rRNA from 1 species